CAGGGGGGGAAAUGAGGAGCUGUCUGCACCCUGGGGAGGGGAUGUUGGUGCUGGAGCCACGCUGACACGCUGUCCUUGUGCCCCACAGAGCUGUCCAUCGCCUACUCCUCAGGGAAAGCCAUCUCCCUGGUGCAGGUGGGCCCCGGGCCACGCAGCCGACGAGUGCAGCAGUGGUGGGAGCCCCUCCAGCUGCAGGACGUGGACUGGCAGAGGUCGGUGCUCUACGGGACGGAUGACCGCGGGACGCUGCUGCGCCUCGUGGGGCACUGCCGGGAGGAGAGAAACCAUCGAGACCAGGCUGCCAGUCUGCUCUGCCCGCUGUGGACGUCCGCUCGGGGAGCCUGUACUGGCUGGCGUGUAACCGGAGGGACAUCGGGGUGACCCAGGCGCCCAACAUGACCUCGCACGUCCUGCACCGCGCUCGCAGCAGCAUCCAGCACCUCUUCUUGGACUGGCAGCGGGGGGCUCUGUACUGGCUGGCUCCUGGGCAGCCCCUGCAGCAGCUCAGCCUGGCCGGGGGGCGACCCGCAGGAUGCCUGGAACGAGACCUGGCCUGGAGAGCUGCCCGUGGCCAUGGACAGCAGGGCCUUCACCCUGCUCUGGAGCUCAGCCCUGGGCCUGAGGGCGCUGAGCCUGACCAAACGGCAAGCGGUCACCCUGGCGCCCAGCUGGCCCCAUGGGCUCGUGGCUGCCUUCGAGCCCUACCUGGUGUCUGUCAACAAGACGUCUCUGCUGCUCUGGGACCGGCGGACGCUGGCCCUCGUGCUGGCCGUGCCAGCAGAAGGCGUGCAGGGAGCGGUGGCCUUCGUGGAGCUGGAGCUGCCUGCAGUGCCAACGAGCAGAGGGCCUGCCCUGCCACUCCAUCCCACCCGUGACCACCUGCGUCGAGGACGAGCACGAGCCCUGCCUCGAGGACAAGCCCGGCCACCACCUCCACCACACGACCUCCACGCUACGCAAGACGACCACCGCUGCGCCUCCCACCACAGCGCCAACCACCUCCAGCACGUCCACGCUGGCCAAAACCACCCCUGCACCAACCACCACCACCACCACGUCCACCCCAACCACCACCUCUGCGCCCGCCACCACCCAAACAACAUCAACCAAGGUCCCCUCUGUGCGGUCACCCACCACUGAGGAGCUCCACCACCACCACGAGGAGCACCACGAGCACCACCAUCCUGUCCGUGCCACCCCAGCCCGCUGUCCCACGGCUAACCACGAGCACGCAGCACCCAGCCAGCCCUGCACGCCCCCUCCCCGCCGUCCCCCACCUCUCCUGCCCUCGCACACACGUGCCCUGCCGUGA
rnacentral:lncRNA from 1 species